AUGGCGGCCGACAUUCUCAAAAACCCGCGAAAGAAAAARGGAGCUAAAAAACUAGCUAAAGAAUCACCGUUUCCUGUCCCAAUAGAGAGCAUUACUAAGAAGGAGGCCUGCGACAGUAGAUGGUUUUAUUAUACAGGAUAUUUUCGUGAUAAUUGCGUUGUGGUUGAAGACCUUGGGGAUUUGACGUUCUUGUACAAAAUGGGUUUCUUUGGUAAAGGAAAUUUGUCAAGAAGCAAACCAGAGUAUGAAAUUAUCUCAGACAUUUCACAAAAAGCAUUUUCAAAUUCAGACAAGCUCAGAAGAUUACCACCAAAAGAAAGACAGAUAAGGCAAUCAAAAUUUAGAGAAAUCAGGAAAGAAAGACACAGAAAUCAUUCUCAUUGGCAAAGGUUAGCAAACUUAUCCGAAGAUAAUGAAUGCCAUACAUCUCAAAGAACAAAUGAAGAAAGUGAAAUGAAGAAAGCACAGCAUGAAAAUGAUACUUCAGAAGAAGAGCCAUGUAAAAAGAUGAAGAUGGAAGAGGAUGAAGUGGAUUUAUUUGAGGAUGAUUCUGAUGAAUGUAAUGAUGAUAGUGAUGAUCUCACACAUGACACCUCUUCUCAAGAUGAAAAUAAAACAAAUAGCAGCGACAAGGAUGACAAUGAACUUGGAGGAGCUGAAGUUCCGGUACAAGUCAAAAAAUCAGAAGUUAUAGGAAAAAGUAGAAAAAAGGUUGACCCCUACAAGGUUUUUGAGCACCUUCAGUUGACCUUAGAAGAGGCUUUCUUUCUAUCUUAUGGUCUUGGAUGUCUGAAUGUUUAUGAUGACAAUAAGAAAGCCUUGUCAAUUGGUGAUUUGUGGAGAGAGUUUAGUCAAGUAAAGAAAAACUUUAUUCCAUGUUAUAUUGCAUAUCAUUACUAUCGGUCAAARGGCUGGGUUCCUAAGUGUGGCAUCAAGUAUGGAACAGAUUUUGUAAUCUACAAGGAAGGAAUGCCAUUUUAUCACUCAAGUUAUUCUGUGAUAGUUCAAGUGGCCGACCAAGACUCUCUUGAGCCUGUUAUGACUGAUGUCUGUACACCAUACACCUGGGCWGGUGCUACUGGUUUGAAUAGAGUCAGUGAACAUGCCGCAAAGGAAAUUAUGAUAUGCUAUGUUUUGCUUCCAUCAGGAAUCACAGAAAAAGAGUUGUGUUUGCCUUGUUGCAUACCUCGCUUUAAAGUCCAGGAAGUAGUUUUAAGACGAUGGAUUCCAGAACGAUCAAGAGAACCAACAAAAACAACAUCUUGAAAGUUCCACAGUGUGGAUUCGUGCAAGGAAAAGUCAUAUGAUUCAAGUGUGGUUGAUGCACAAGAAGUAAUUUAGUAAAAGCAUUACGUUUGAGYGUCUUGACAGCACAGUUGACUGACUGCCCAUCYAAGAUGACUGUGCCCUGGAAGACGAUACCAAAGAACCCUGAACCGAGCUCUUUACCAGUCGCUAURAAUGCUUUAUCUAUCUCUCUCCAUGGCAACUCUGGACUAUUUAUCUAGGGAAACAAGAYUGUUAAUAGUAGUAGUAAUGAUGGCAAUAAUUGCAAGGAGUCUACACAAAAAUGGAGAAGAAGAAAAAGAGAAGGAAGAAUGAGCAACAAUUAACAGAGAUGAAUUGCAAGACGAAACACUUGAUGUUGAUGUGAAAAAAGACAGAAGUAGAAACAAGAGAAGUAAAAUCAAGCUAUCAACAGCCGUGUAAUCCAGUACGUGCCGCCUGCAAAGCCGCCAGCUUGUUAACACGUUGAUAUCUAUAGGAUUAAUAGAGAUAUACCUACUCGUUUACGACCUGUCAAUGAGUUCGACAAAACACUUGAAACGCUGCCAUCUCGGGGUGCAUCUCUGCACAGAACUUGUGUAUUUAAUUUCAAUUGCCGCGUGCUUGAGGUGGUAACCUUUGCUGGUUUGCAAGCGAGGCGUAGUAGUGAAUAUUUUGCCUAAAGUCACCUAAUGAAAGGCGAUCUUUAUUAACUAUUGGUACUUUUCAAGAUUUUUACUAAUUGUUGGCAGCUGGUAGCUGGUAGCCUUCGUACCGGCACUUCAUUCUCUCUCUUUAGAAAUAACGGCAGCUGUGCAUUUAACAGUGAUAUAAAUCAGUCAUAAGAAUCGAUAAUAUAAAUAGACGACGCUUUAAGCAGUCUUCAGGCAAAUUGUCUCGAAAUACCAGGUAAAAUGAUGAUAUUAUAUCUCGAAAUACCAGGUAAAAUGAUGAUAUUAUAUCUCGAAAUACCAGGUAAAAUGAUGAUAUUAUGUCUCGAAAUACCAGGUAAAAUGAUGGUAUAAAAAAUAAAGGAAACUUCGAGAAAAUUUGAAAAAGAUUAAGCGAGCCGGGGGACUAAAAGGGAUUUUGKGAAAGUCUGARACUAAGUAUACCUCAGAGAAUAUCACGUCUCCGCCCUUCCUGGACUAGGACAUCCUCUUCCUGCUCGCUUCCUGGACAUCCAGCAGAUAACGGAAACAAGCCUCCCUUUGUUAAAGACCAGUUAUCAUUAUUUGUAUAAAUCGCCGUUAACCAAAAUAAACCCACACCAAUUAGUGAAGUAAUAAACGAUAUCGCCCACGAUUGACGGCACUAUAAUCGUCACGCAGGCGUCACGGAAGUACUACGGAAAUGUCACAUACGGAAAUGUCACGGUUUUGACAGCUGAAUGUCCAUUCAUGAUAUUUUUAUGUCGGUUAAUUGUCAGGUUGUUUUUGAUUAAUAUAUGCAGCAUAGCGUUGUAAAUGAAAAGUUUAAAAACGAAUUCAAAGUAGAUUUCGACAGUUUAGCUUCUUUUGCUUUAAUACAGUUGACUUGAUCAAUGUUUUUUUCCCACGUUUCGUGACGAAGGAAGUGACGUAAAUGCCUUGACAACCGGAAGUAUAGGGGAAAACCACUGCGGCUUGAAUGACAGCCGGCGUGUAUAAAAGACGGCUGCGAGGUCUUAAAAAACAAAGUCGUUCAGUACACAGCAGCAKCUACCGUGUGAAAUAGAAACCUUGAAAUAUUUACAACAUGAAUGCACAGGGUUCUCAGGAUAGGUCUACGAAAUUAUCGCAAAGAAAUGGAGGAAUCACACAAGCUCAAAGAAAUGUUGUAACUCCUCUCUACGCUCGUCAAGAUCGCGUGCUUCGGUUGUACUCGGUUCAAGAGUGGGUGUUUGAGCUGUGUAUUAUGAUUGUUGUGUUGGGAUGUUUCUUUCUGUUUGCACUGCUACGAGGAAUGCUCAAGAAUUCUCCAUUUUUCCAAAGCCAGGGAAUUAUUGGUUGAAUUUACGUUGUGAGCCGUUCGUGAAGAAAAACAUUUCUUGCCGUGACUCUUUUUUGUUAGUCGAUCGAUGCCAGCUCAGCAAAGUUGAAACAGAAAAAGUUUAUACUGAAUCAGACCGCAUUGCUUGCUUCGAAUUGGCAAGGUGAAAAAAAGGAAAAAACUGAACGAAAAUCAAACAAAAAAAGAGAGCAGAAAUAACUUUUGGAAGAAGCUUGAAGAUCUUUGCCGCGAAAAACRAGGGACUUGAAUUAAAAGCAAUCAAGGAAACGUGAAUUGUUUACCGUAUUACUCGAGUGCAAAGUAUUUAUGAACUUGGUAUAAAUUUCAAUUCCUCAAGAGUCUUAUUAUUUAUUGAAUAGUCAAGUAUUUAGUUGCAAAAGAAUCUGUAAAUUGAGUAGUGCAAAGGUCAUUUCCUAUCGGCCAGUUCUAUUGUGUGUMUUCAGAGGUUACACACGGCAGUUCUCAGGGUUUCUAUAGACC